rnacentral:rRNA from 1 species
UACGUAGGGUGCGAGCGUUGUCCGGAAUUAUUGGGCGUAAAGAGCUCGUAGGCGGUUUGUCGCGUCGACUGUGAAAACCUACAGCUUAACUGUGUGCUUGCAGUCGAUACGGGCAGACUUGAGUUCGGUAGGGGAGACUGGAAUUCCUGGUGUAGCGGUGAAAUGCGCAGAUAUCAGGAGGAACACCGGUGGCGAAGGCGGGUCUCUGGGCCGAUACUGACGCUGAGGAGCGAAAGCGUGGGGAGCAAACAGG